rnacentral:RNase_P_RNA from 1 species
UGAGUAGGACAGGUGAUCGCUGCUGCGUCUUAAAAGCGCAGGAGAGGAAAGUCCGGGCUUCACAGGGCAGGGUGCCAGAUAACGUCUGGCGAAGGCGACUUCAGGGAAAGUGCAACAGAAAUAAACCGCAUGCGUCUGCAUGUAAGGGUGGAAAGGCAGUGUAAGAGACUACCGCCUCGCUGGUAACAGGGAGGGCACAUGUAAACCCCACUCGAAGCAAGGCCGAACAGGGAGCGUAAGGCGGCCCGUCUGCUCCCGGGUAGGCUGCUGGAGCCGUUCGGUGACGGACGGCCUAGAUAGAUGAUCAUCCGCGACAUAACCCGGCUUAUCGUCCUGCUCAGGAU